CUGUCCCCAGCCCCCCACUGCCACAUGACCAGGCUGCCCAGUACGACCUCAGCUGGGACCAGCAACUCAACCUCGCCUAUGUGGGUGCCGUCCCUCAUGGUGGCAUCAAGCAAGUCCGGACACACUGGCUGUUGGACCUCGUCACUGCCAGGACAGGAGACUGUGAGAGUUGGAGUGGGGAGCAGCCCCUAACUGGGACCUACCCUGAAACUUCCUCCUGCAAGCCCUCUCUGCUUCCUGAUGACAUGAGCCUGGCCAGGGAAGACCAGCAGCCCCAUCUGGGGACAGAAUGGGUGUGGAAUAUGGGAUCUGACUACUGCUUCUGGAGGGCCCUGCCCUGGACCCCAGGAUCGCCCUGGCUCAGUUGGGCUUCUGAGGACCUAGGCCACCUCCUCCUCCUGGACCCCAGUCCUGAGGGGCCCACUGUCUGCCCAGCGGUUGUGAUUUGUGGCUUAGAGGAGGCUGUUUCCUAAUGGGUGUGGUGGGGUGAAUCACAGAGGGCCUUCUGGGGCGGAUAAGGAGCCCUUCUGCUGUCUAGAAGGCAGCUACUGGGCAUCAUAAAACCACAAUCUGCCCAGUGCCCGUGGAGGAGCAGUUAAAAACUACCUAGGAGACCAGCAGGGCUGAGUCACUCUCCUGGGGUCUCCCUGGCGUUGGCAGGAUGGAUCCUGGGUCCACAAAGCAAGCGAACCUGCAGAUAGGUGCCGGUGCGGGGCAAGGUGGGGCAUCACCUGGGCAGUACAGAACAGUGUAGGGGCAGCCCCUUACCCCUCUGUGGUCUGGGUGGCAGGGAUCCGUCCUCUCGCCCUGCCCUGCCUGGUCUGGGUACCUCCGCAGGUGAGAUGCAGCUGUGAUCACCCACCUGGCGAGAGAAUUGUAGGACCCUUGGGACUUAGGCUCCCCUGGCGCCCAGCUGCGGGUUCUCUGGCACUGAGGUCGCUGGGCCCACUCCCCAUCCCCAGUGCGCCCACUGAGCCGCAGGUUCCGUCCAUCUGUGCGUGGCCCACUCCAGGCAGCGGGGCAGCGACUUGAGGCCUGGCGCCUUCAGCUCGCCAGGACCUGCUCCGGCCCGCACGCCUGUUAGUCCUGUGCUGCCCCGUGAUUUCCCUCGUUUUAUCUUUAAAUCGCCUUUAAGCGCGCUCCCGGCCCGGAAGACCCCCGCCUCCGAGCUCGCGCGGCCUCUGUCCCGCCUUCCUCGCUGCGAGCCGCCCGGCCCCGCCAGUCACCCCGCUACCCGCGCCCCGGGCCCCACCUCGCGCGUCUCCCACGCUGCCGCCACACCCUCGUGCAGGCGCGGCCGAUUCGCCCAUUCCCCGGCCCCGCGCCUCGGUGCCCGCGUGGACCCCCUGCACGCACGGCCUGCAAGCGCGUCCCGGCCGCGCACCCUACGGGUCUGGGCAGCCCCCCCACGCGCGGCCGGGCCCGCCCACCCCGCCGUGCGCAUGCCCCAGUGCACGCGCGCCCCCGCCAUCCCCGUCAGCUCGCGCACCCCUAGAGGUCCACCCGCACCCCGCUUCUGCCCUGGGCCCGCCGGCGCCUCGCCCAGCCGCGUGCACUCACCCGGCGCGGCAGCGGCUGGGUCCUAGCGGCGCUCGCGCUCGGGCCGGGGCCGGGGGGCGGCCCGUCGGUACCAGCGCGGUGAAUGGGCCCCUGUGAGGCCCGGCCGGUGCCCCGCGGGGCCUGGCCGGCCUGGGCGGGUGGAAGGGGCCUCUCGCUUCCCCGCGGCGGUGCCCUGUCUGCCUCUCUGAUCAGGCCGCUCUGCAGGGGAGUUUUGGAGGACUUGCCAUCCGCCCAGCUCCCUCCCGCUCCGCGCCUCCAGAAUCCCUGUCCCAGUGGGGGCCAAGUGGAGGGAGACCGACCCUCCGCUGAUGCGGGGCUUCCUCUCCAAACCAGUACACGCACCGCACUGGAGUGGGUACUGUGUGGAGUUACUGCCUUUGGGACCUGUAGAGAAAACGGGGAGCCUACAACUGUCCCCACCCCAUUACCUGCAGGACUUUGGAAUCCGGCAGCUGUCAGACCACUCAUUUAAUCUUUAUCCAAGUGCAUGCCCUCACCUGGGCUCCAGAGCCCCCGAGCACCAGCGUCCUCAACUAGACCACCCUCAGCUGGCCAGUAUCACACCACCAACCCAUGCCAGUUGUCCUGCAGGCUCCCCUGCUGGUCCAGCCACUGGAGCUGCUGUCAGGAACCCCAGAAACCCCUCAGCGCCAGCCCCUUCCGAUGGCCUCCCAGCCACUGCCCAGCUGGGCACCGCUGCUCUUGCUGGGAGCCCACUGCAGCCCUCCAGCCAGUCUUCUGGCUCCUGCUCUGACUCCAACUGACUGCCACAGGGACAGGGACCUUUCCAAAAUGUCACUGUGAUGCUCUGCUCAGAACUCUGAAAGGAAUUGGUCUGGACGAGCAUGUGGGAAGAUCCUUCACCUUCCUGGCCUGCACAUUCCUAUCACCUCUUGGGAGUAUGGAAGGACGCAGGGGGUCGAUUGAGCAGGGCCUGAGCUACAACUUCACCCACCUGGACGGGUACUUGGACCUCCUCCGAGAGAACCAGCUCCUGCCUGGCUUUGAGCUGAUGGGAAGCCCUUCUGGACGCUUCACGGACUUUGAGGACAAGCUGCAGGUGGCCAAGUGGAGGGACCUGGUGUCCCUCCUGGCCAGAAGAUACAUCGGCCGCUACGGACUAGCACACGUUUCCAAGUGGAACUUCGAGACGUGGAACGAGCCCGACCACAGGGACUUCGACAACGUGUCCAUGACCACUCAAGGCUUCCUGAACUACUAUGACGCCUGCUCUGAGGGCCUGCGGGACGCCAGCCCGGCCCUGCGGCUGGGUGGCCCCGGGGAUUCCUUCCACCCACCGCCAGGGUCCCCGCUGUGCUGGAGCCUCCUGGAACACUGUGCCAAGGGCACCAACUUCUUCACGGGUGAGGUGGGCGUGCGCCUGGACUACAUCUCCCUGCACAAGAAGGGUGGGGGCAGCUCCAUCGGCAUCCUGGAGCAAGAGGUGGCCACUGUGCAGCAGAUACAGCAGCUCUUCCCCAAGUUCAAGGACACCCCCAUCUAUAACGACGAGGCCGACCCGCUGGUGGGUUGGUCUCAGCCACAGCCGUGGAGGACAGACGGCACCUACGCAGCCAUGGUGGUGAAGGUGAUCGCUCAGCACCAGAACCUGCUGGUCGCCAACACCAGCUCCUCCCUCCACUACGCUCUCCUGAGCAAUGAUAACGCCUUCCUGAGUUACCACCCUCACCCCUUCUCCCAGCGCACGCUGACCGCCCGCUUCCAGGUCAACAACACCCAUCCGCCCCACGUGCAGCUGCUGCGCAAGCCGGUUCUCACAGCCAUGGGGCUGCUGGCCCUGCUGGAUGGAGAGCAGCUCUGGGCAGAGGUGUCCCGGGAGAGGGUGGUGUUGGACAGCAACCACACAGUGGGCGUCCUGGCCAGCGCCCACCGCCCCAAGGGCCCCGUUGACGCCUGGCGUGCCACCGUGCUGGUCUAUGCAAGCGAUGACACCCGCGCCCACCCCAACCGCAGCAUCCCCGUGACACUGCGCCUGUCCGGGGUGCCUCCGGGCCCAGGGCGCGUCUACGUCACGUACUACCUGGACAACCGGCUCUGCAGCCCCCACCGCGAGUGGCAGCGGGCCGGCCGGCCGGUCUUCCCCUCCGCGGAGCAGUUCCGACGCAUGCGCUUGGCUGAGGACCCGGUGGCCGCCGCGCCACGCCCAUUUCCGGGCGGCAGCCGCCUGACGCUGCACCCUGAGCUCGCGCUACCCUCGCUCCUGCUGGUGCACGUGUGCGCGCGCCCGGAGAAGCCCCCCGGCCAGGUCACCCGCCUCCGUGUUCUGCCCCUGACCCGAGGGCAGCUGGCUCUGGUCUGGUCGGAUGAGCGUGUGGGCUCCAAGUGCCUGUGGACGUAUGAGAUCCAGUUCUCCCCCAACGGUGAGGUGUACGCCCCAGUCAGCAGGAGGCCGUCCACCUUUAACCUCUUUGUGUUCAGCCCAGACACAGCAGUUGUCUCUGGCUCCUACCGCGUACGAGCACUGGACUACUGGGCCCGGCCAGGCCCCUUCUCAGACCCGGUGCUGUACCUGGAGGGCCCUGCCUCCUGAGGGACCCACGAACCUGGUGAGCCAGAGCAGCCAGGAGCCAAGAUGGCUGGCCUGCUGCUGGCCGCCUGUUGCCUGCCAGCUCCUUUGGUCCCCCACCCUCAGUUUAAAGAGGCUUCCUACAUGGCGUGUCGGGGUCAGCUUCUGGACGGACGCUGGGUGGAUGUGGAACGGCACUGGGAGGAGAUGGGGCUGUGAGGAGCUGAGCCUGGCCUUUGCCGGCCUCCCUCCCAGUGAGGACACCCCUCCCGCCUGGGUGGAAGCUGCGGGUGAGGCUGGGAGCCCAGGCUGACCUGCCCACCAGGGGUCCCUGGCACCCCCUGGGGACGCAGCUCCCAGCGUUCCUCUUCCUCCUCUGAGCAGCUGUGGCAGAGGGUGGGACGGCACCCUUGCCCAUCCCAGACUGUGGUCAGCAACAGGAAAGACUGCUGUCUCCACCUCCCCAGGUCAUCUGGGCCCAGGAAGAAACAAGGCGAAGGAGGAGCCCACCUCUAGAGCUCUCCCGUUGCCAGGGCCACUGGACCUCUACUCUCCUCCAGCACCACCAGUAACUCUGAGGCUGGUUCCCCUGCAAGGUUGGCCCUGGCCUCUCACCCAGGAGCCGCCUGGCCUGAGACCCCCGUUGGAGGUCCUGGGUUGCGCCCAGUGCUUGUGACGCCAGGCCCAAUGCCUUCUGCCAGGUUGAGGAAGUGUUGUGUUCUUUUUUAUUCUUUUACUGCGUCGUCGCUGAGAUCUCGGAAACAACUGUCACGUGGUCGGCUGUGCGGGUGGAUUUUCAGAUGUUCGAUCAACCUGCAGCCCUGGACACCCCUGCUCAACCACCACGUGGUUUCCUUUUUCCACCGUUGCACUGGAUUAAUUGCAAUAAAAGCAUUUCACGUCUCUGUUCACGACA